CAUAACGACUCUCGGCAACGGAUAUCUCGGCUCUCGCAUCGAUGAAGAACGUAGCGAAAUGCGAUACUUGGUGUGAAUUGCAGAAUCCCGUGAACCAUCGAGUCUUUGAACGCAAGUUGCGCCCGAAGCCAUUCGGCCGAGGGCACGCCUGCCUGGGCGUCACGCA
rnacentral:rRNA from 1 species